rnacentral:rRNA from 1 species
UACGUAGGGUGCGAGCGUUAAUCGGAAUUACUGGGCGUAAAGCGUGCGCAGGCGGUUCGCUGUGUCCUGUGUGAAAGCCCCCGGGCUUAACCUGGGAAUGGCAUGGGAAACUGGCGAGCUUGAGUGCGGCAGAGGGGGGUGGAAUUCCGCGUGUAGCAGUGAAAUGCGUAGAGAUGCGGAGGAACACCGAUGGCGAAGGCAGCCCCCUGGGUCGACACUGACGCUCAGGCACGAAAGCGUGGGGAGCAAACAGG